UCUCAUGAUAUCAUUCUGUAUCAUUCUCUUUCUGUCUCUCGAACACUGUCUCAUGAUAUCAUUCUGUAUCAUCACUCGAACACUGUCUCAUGAUAUCGUUCUGUAUCAUCCUCUUUCUGUCUCUCGAACACUGUCUCGUGAUAUCAUUCUGUAUCCUCCUCUUUCUCUCUCUCGAACACUGUCUCAUGAUAUCAUUCUGUAUCCUCCUCUUUCUCUCUCUCUCGAACACUGUGUCAUGAUAUCGUUCUGUAUCCUCCUCUUUCUCUCUCUCGAACACUGUCUCAUGAUAUCAUUCUGUAUCAUCCUCUUUCUCUCUCUCAAACACUGUCUCAUGAUAUCAUUCUGUAUCAUUCUCUUUCUCUCUCUCGAACACUGUCUCAUGAUAUCAUUCUGUAUCAUCAUCUUUCUCUCUCUCACGAA
rnacentral:lncRNA from 1 species